rnacentral:tmRNA from 13 species
UCCCCUCGGGGACUAUGGGCAUAAACGCGCUCGUAAUAAGCGGAUCGGACCCGGGGGCGGUACCCGGCGACUCCACCAACAUCCCUUCAUUUGGGGGAGCAUGGGGUCGAAACAGGAUCGACGGACGUCUAAAGGGGUUAGCUUUGUCUCGGCUGUCUGCCACCGUUACCGGCGAAACUUGUACAAUUGCAAAUGACAAUCGUGCU